GUUACACAUGAUUAAAGGGGCGUUAAGUGAUUCAGUCGCGGCGAAAAGUGCGCUUAAGAAGCUUUAAACAUUAUGUGUAGUCUUGAUGAAUAAAAAUGAAUUAGAUUUUGAUUAGCUAACAGCUAAUUUACCAAUAUACCCCUAAAGAGUUGAAUGUAAUUAAUAAGCUUCUAAACCAUACAACACGCCGGAAUAUUUUUCCGGCAUAACAUCGACGAAGUACAAGUCUCUCAUCUUUUGAAAAACGUGCCACGUCAGCAAGCUAUCUGAACUGGCCUGAUGGCACUUCCCAGCAACCCGGUUCACUUCUAAAAGACCCGCCACCCGGUCCAACCCACCAUACAACCCGGUCCGGCAAAACGUCAUCAAAUGCUUCACGUCAUACACAUCAUCCCCAAAAAACACCUUCAAACUCUCCAAAAACUCCGGCAACCCAUCCGGCAGACGACGGCGCGUGAGAAUCUUCAACAAAUACCCAAAGUCAUACGCGCUGUGAAACGUCACCCAACUCACCGACUCAUUACACACCAACCCGGAUGACAUCAUCAACUCAGCAAACUCAACCGAGUCAACCCCAUCAACCCGGUUGCGUUCAAAAUCAAUCCCUUGAUUCCUCAACAACUCAAUCGACUCAGGCGCGUGGGCGUCACGCGUGACAUCAAAAUCAGAAAAAUUAAACUGCCAGAUGUAACGUUGGUGGGACCCAUCGAUAACCGGAAGGUUACCGGAAGAAUCAGAGAGGGUGAGACCGAGCUGGAUGAGGUUCAAAACGUCGACGUUUGACUUAAGAAGCUGAUAAUGAUCCGACGGUCGACGAUGCUUGUAAGAUGAUGAUGAACGACGGUAUACAACGCCCGGGAAUUCUGUGUCCAUUGAGAUAUAUGGGUAUCUAUCGAUGAUGGAUCGGAUCAAAUCGAACUCGGAUUGUAAGUUGUGAGACCAUACUUCUCGGAUCGUGAUGGUUUUAUCGAUACAGUUUGACAUGAUUAUUAUUUAUAGUAUUUAACGCAUACAACACCACCACCAGUUUGAAUUGGUUAAUAUGUGAUCUAGCGGGUGUGAGGGGAUGAAUUGGGAGAUGAUAUAUAUAGAGGAGGAGAGUAUGAUGAUGGGUGGAAGAAAUCUAAAAUGAUGGCGUCCAGCUUUGUUU
rnacentral:lncRNA from 1 species